UACGAAGGGGGCUAGCGUUGCUCGGAAUUACUGGGCGUAAAGGGCGUGUAGGCGGGACAGUAAGUCGGGCGUGAAAUCCCUGGGCUCAACCCAGGAACUGCACUCGAAACUACUAUUCUUGAGUGUCGGAGAGGAAAGCGGAAUUCCUGGUGUAGAGGUGAAAUUCGUAGAUAUCAGGAGGAACACCAGUGGCGAAGGCGGCUUUCUGGACG
rnacentral:rRNA from 1 species